rnacentral:rRNA from 1 species
CACGCCGUAAACGUUGGGCGCUAGGUGUGGGGACUUUCCACGGUUUCCGUGCCGUAGCUAACGCAUUAAGCGCCCCGCCUGGGGAGUACGGCCGCAAGGCUAAAACUCAAAGGAAUUGACGGGGGCCCGCACAAGCGGCGGAGCAUGUUGCUUAAUUCGACGCAACGCGAAGAACCUUACCAAGGCUUGACAUCACCGGUAAUCCUCCAGAGAUGGGGGGUCCUUCGGGGAUCGGUGACAGGUGG